rnacentral:rRNA from 1 species
AAUACCUAGAGAUAGUGGACGUUACUCGCAGAAUAAGCACCGGCUAACUCUGUGCCAGCAGCCGCGGUAAUACAGAGGGUGCGAGCGUUAAUCGGAUUUACUGGGCGUAAAGCGUGCGUAGGCGGCUUAUUAAGUCGGAUGUGAAAUCCCCGAGCUUAACUUGGGAAUUGCAUUCGAUACUGGUGAGCUAGAGUAUGGGAGAGGAUGGUAGAAUUCCAGGUGUAGCGGUGAAAUGCGUAGAGAUCUGGAGGAAUACCGAUGGCGAAGGCAGCCAUCUGGCCUAAUACUGACGCUGAGGUACGAAAGCAUGGGGAGCAAA